rnacentral:rRNA from 1 species
UAGGGAAUCUUCCACAAUGGGCGAAAGCCUGAUGGAGCAACGCCGCGUGUGUGAUGAAGGAUUUCGGCUCGUAAAACACUGUUGUAAGAGAAGAAUGACAUUGAGAGUAACUGUUCAAUGUGUGACGGUAUCUUACCAGAAAGGAACGGCUAAAUACGUGCCAC